rfam:Bombyx mori DNA, contig: Bm_scaf35_contig21121, strain: p50T/Dazao, build 2, whole genome shotgun sequence.
UUAACUCAAUUUUGUAUGAAGUUGGAACUUUUACUUACGUUUGCCGGUAGAGGCGCUGUUCCAACUGCAUACAAAUUUGAGUUA